rnacentral:rRNA from 1 species
AGAUUUAUUUUUUGACUUUGAGGAUUUUAGGUAAAAUUAAAAUUUAUGUAUUAGUAUUAGAUUAUGUCAUUAAGAUUUUAGGAGCGAAUUAGAUUAGUACCUAAUUAGUAAAAAGUUAAAUGUUCAGGAGUAAAGUAGGAUUUAAACUGAAAGAAUAUUGGCAGAUUUUCUAAAUUAUCUUUGGAGGUUGAGUAAUAAUUGAGAACCCUCAUUAACUACUUGGUUUUUUGGCUCAUGUAUGAUCGUUUAUUUUAUGUUUAAGAUAUAAAAAUUUAAUAAUUUUUUUUUGAAAAAAUAGAUAUAUAUUUGGUGAAUAAUUGAGUUUAGUUUGACCUACAUUGUUGAGGAUUUUGGAUUAUUAAGGUAGUAUUAGUAUGAAAUUGUAAAAGACAGUAAAAAAGUCUUUAUGUCUUUUUGAAGAGUAUUUAGAAGU